UACGUAGGGUGCGAGCGUUGUCCGGAAUUAUUGGCGUAAAGAGCUCGUAGGCGGUGUGUCGCGUCGGCCGUGAAAACCUGCAGCUUAACUGUGGGCUUGCGGUCGAUACGGGCAGGCUCGAGUUCGGUAGGGGAGACUGGAAUUCCUGGUGUAGCGGUGAAAUGCGCAGAUAUCAGGAGGAACACCGGUGGCGAAGGCGGGUCUCUGGGCCGAUACUGACGCUGAGGAGCGAAAGCCAGGGGAGCAAACGGG
rnacentral:rRNA from 1 species